rnacentral:rRNA from 1 species
CCGAGAAUCUUCCGCAAUGGACGAAAGUCUGACGGAGCGACGCCGCGUGAUUGAUGAAGUGCUUCGGUAUGUAAAGAUCUUUUAUGAGGGAAGAAGUUUAUUGACGGUACCUCAUGAAUAAGGACCUGCCAAACUCGUGCCAGCAGCAGCGGUAAUACGAGUGGUCCAAGCGUUAUCCGGAAUUAUUGGGCGUAAAGGGUAUGUAGGUGGUUGUAUUAGUCGGUUGUCAAACCUUUGGGCUCAACCCAAA